GGCCUCCUGAUGCUUAGCACAGACUGUGUUCUUUACACUGACUCUAUAUAUAGAAAGAGGAGGCACAGUAAAUGUACCCCAUAUACACCUCAGCCCAGGGCCUUUACCUGGUCUGUAUUGUGAAUGAGGGGACAUGA